AUUGAACGCUGGCGGCAUGCCUUACACAUGCAAGUCGAACGGCAGCACGGGAGCAAUCCUGGUGGCGAGUGGCGAACGGGUGAGUAAAGUAUCGGAACGUGCCCAGUCGUGGGGGAUAACGUAGCGAAAGUUACGCUAAUACCGCAUACGAUCUAUGGAUGAAAGCGGGGGAUCGCAAGACCUCGCGCGAUUGGAGCGUCCGAUAUCAGAUUAGGUAGUUGGUGGGGUAAAGGCUCACCAAGCCGACGAUCUGUAGCUGGUCUGAGAGGACGACCAGCCACACUGGGACUGAGACACGGCCCAGACUCCUACGGGAGGCAGCAGUGGGGAAUUUUGGACAAUUGGCGAAAGCCUGAUCCAGCCAUGCCGCGUGCAGGAUGAAGGCCUUCGGGUUGUAAACUGCUUUUGUACGGAACGAAAAGGUUUGGCCUAAUAAGCUGAGCUCAUGACGGUACCGUAAGAAUAAGCACCGGCUAACUACGUGCCAGCCGCCGCAGUAA
rnacentral:rRNA from 1 species